CUAAGCAGAUUUCCAGAUAGCUGCUAAGCUGUAUGGAAUUUGUGAAGAGAAAUCCAGAUACUGGGCAUGUACAGCACCUCUGCUUGUUGAAACAAGUCUCAAAUCCUUAGUAAUUAGCUCAGCAUCGAGCAUGUAGCCAGUUCUCAGGGUACAGAGCACUCUGGAGGAGCAGACCCUCAUGCCUUGUUCAGCUGGAACUUUAGCGGAAUGGUCAGCUCUCAGUCUUUGGCCAUUCCCUGUCUCUGCUCCAGAAAGCCAAGGGUUCAGAUGAAGAUUGGAAGGAGAAAAACAGAAGACUUUGAUCUUGAUCACAGCGACAGAUUCAGAGAUAUCUGAGUUUACUCUUCAGCAUUAAACCUUGGGCUCUUAGACCAGGAAAGUUGUGUGGUGUUGGCAGGGAGAAGAAAGGAGUUGACUGCAGCCCCUGGCUCCCAUGGUUGACUUUAACCUCCUGAAUGGACAACAUGGCAGGGCACAGGCAAUCCAACAAGUUUCUGAAGACUGGCAAGAACUAUUUCCUGACACUGCAGAUUCAUGAGCCAAUUAGGUAAGGUGUGUUGUCGGACCUGCUACUCAUUAGCUAACGGGAGGAGAUAGCGAAGAUAGAUUUAUACUGCUCACACAGAUGCACAUAGAAUAAUAGGCAGAAGACAGAAAUUGCAACAAAUGAAGUUCUGAUGGAUAUCAGGAAAAAUUUUCCUCAGAAAGGUGGCAAAAUAUUGGCACAGG
rnacentral:lncRNA from 1 species